rnacentral:rRNA from 1 species
ACGGGAGGCAGCAGUGGGGAAUAUUGCACAAUGGGGGAAACCCUGAUGCAGCGACGCCGCGUGAGUGAAGAAGUAUUUCGGUAUGUAAAGCUCUAUCAGCAGGAAAGAAAAUGACGGUACCUGACUAAGAAGCCCCGGCUAACUACGUGCCAGCAGCCGCGGUAGUACGUAGGGGGCAAGCGUUAUCCGGAUUUACUGGGUGUAAAGGGAGCGUAGACGGCAAGGCAAGCCAGAUGUGAAAGGCUGGGGCUCAACCCCGGGACUGCAUUUGGAACUGUCUAGCUAGAGUAUCGGAGAGGUAAGUGGAAUUCCUAGUGUAGCGGUGAAAUGCGUAGAUAUUAGGAGGAACACCAGUGGCGAAGGCGGCUUACUGGACGAUAACUGACGUUGGGGCUCGAAAGCGUGGGGAGCAAACAGGAUUAGAUACCCUGGUA